rnacentral:rRNA from 1 species
CACUCCUGCGGGAGGCAGCAGUGGGGAAUAUUGCACAAUGGGCGCAAGCCUGAUGCAGCCAUGCCGCGUGUAUGAAGAAGGCCUUCGGGUUGUAAAGUACUUUCAGCGGGGAGGAAGGCAAUACGGUUAAUAACCGUGUUGAUUGACGUUACCCGCAGAAGAAGCACCGGCUAACUCCGUGCCAGCAGCCGCGGUAAUACGGAGGGUGCAAGCGUUAAUCGGAAUUACUGGGCGUAAAGCGCACGCAGGCGGUCUGUCAAGUCGGAUGUGAAAUCCCCGGGCUCAACCUGGGAACUGCAUUCGAAACUGGCAGGCUUGAGUCUUGUAGAGUGGGGUAGAAUUCCAGGUGUAGCGGUGUAAUGCGUAGAGAUCUGGAGGAAUACCGGUGGCGAAGGCGGCCCCCUGGACAAAGACUGACGCUCAGGUGCGAAAGCGUGGGGAGCAAACAGGAUUAGAUACCCUAGUAGUCCCA